AGAGUUUGAUCCUGGCUCAGAAUGAACGCUGGCGGCGUGCUUAACACAUGCAAGUCGAACGAGAAAUCCUCUGCUUGCAGAGGAGAGUAAAGUGGCGCACGGGUGAGUAACGCGUGGGUAAUUUACCCUUGGAUUUGGGAUAACAUUUCGAAAGGGGUGCUAAUACCAGAUAAUAUCCUGAUGAUUUUGGUUAUUAGGAUCAAAGAUAGCCUCUACAUGUAAGCUAUUGUGCAAGGAUGAGCCCGCGUACCAUUAGCUAGUUGGCAGGGUAAAGGCCUACCAAGGCGAUGAUGGUUAGCUGGUCUGAGAGGAUGAUCAGCCACACUGGAACUGAAACACGGUCCAGACUCCUACGGGAGGCAGCAGUGAGGAAUUUUGCGCAAUGGGGGAAACCCUGACGCAGCAACGCCGCGUGAGUGAAGAAGGCUUUCGGGUCGUAAAGCUCUGUCAAGAGGGAAGAAGGUAAGGGACGGUAACACUGUUUUUUAUUGACGGUACCUCUGAAGGAAGCACCGGCUAACUCCGUGCCAGCAGCCGCGGUAAUACGGGNGGGUGCAAGCGUUAUUCGGAUUUAUUGGGCGUAAAGAGCGCGUAGGCGGUUUAUCAAGUCAGAUGUGAAAGCCCUGGGCUUAACCUGGGAAGUGCAUUUGAAACUAGUAGACUUGAGUAUGGGAGAGGGGAGUGGAAUUCCUGGUGUAGAGGUGAAAUUCGUAGAUAUCAGGAGGAACACCGGUGGCGAAGGCGACUUCCUGGACCAAUACUGACGCUGAGGCGCGAAGGCGUGGGGAGCAAACAGGAUUAGAUACCCUGGUAGUCCACGCAGUAAACGGUGAUCACUAGGUGUAGCGGGUAUUGACCCCUGCUGUGCCGGAGUUAACGCAUUAAGUGAUCCGCCUGGGGAGUACGAUCGCAAGGUUAAAACUCAAAGGAAUUGACGG
rnacentral:rRNA from 1 species